rnacentral:rRNA from 1 species
GACGAACGCUGGCGGCGUGCUUAACACAUGCAAGUCGAACGGUAAGGCCCUUCGGGGUACACGAGUGGCGAACGGGUGAGUAACACGUGGGUGAUCUGCCCUGCACUUCGGGAUAAGCCUGGGAAACUGGGUCUAAUACCGGAUAGGACCCUGGGAUGCAUGUCCUGGGGUGGAAAGCUUUUGCGGUGUGGGAUGGGCCCGCGGCCUAUCAGCUUGUUGGUGGGGUGAUGGCCUACCAAGGCGACGACGGGUAGCCGGCCUGAGAGGGUGACCGGCCACACUGGGACUGAGAUACGGCCCAGACUCCUACGGGAGGCAGCAGUGGGGAAUAUUGCACAAUGGGCGCAAGCCUGAUGCAGCGACGCCGCGUGAGGGAUGACGGCCUUCGGGUUGUAAACCUCUUUCAGCACCGACGAAGCGCAAGUGACGGUAGGUGCAGAAGAAGGACCGGCCAACUACGUGCCAGCCGCCGCAGUAA